GGGACAUUAGCUCAUCCGGUAGAGCAUCUGACUCUUAAUCAGAGGGUGGCUGGUUCGAGUCCAGCAUGUCCCACCA
rnacentral:tRNA from 1 species